rnacentral:rRNA from 1 species
UACAGAGGUCCCAAGCGUUGUUCGGAUUCACUGGGCGUAAAGGGUGCGUAGGUGGUUGGGUAAGUCUGAUGUGAAAUCUCCGAGCUUAACUCGGAAAUGGCAUUGGAUACUAUUCGGCUAGAGGGUUUGAGGGGGGACUGGAAUACUUGGUGUAGCAGUGAAAUGCGUAGAUAUCAAGUGGAACACCAGUGGCGAAGGCGAGUCCCUGGAAAACUCCUGACACUGAGGCACGAAAGCUAGGGGAGC